CACUCGGCCGGACGUCGCUGCCCUUCUCGGUUUUACCAAGGAUGGUGAAGGAAACCUCAGUCGGUGUCGCGGCCCCCGGUGCCUACUGCGCUCCCUUCUCAGCAUCCCUGGGAAACAUGGUUUCAGUUCAUCUGGCCCAGAACUACCUUUUCCAGGAGGCUUUGCAGCCCAGCUCUUCCAGAGGAAUAAGGAGGGAAACGGAGGCCCUGCUAACUGGUGACCAUAGAGGGACAGGACCAUCUUUUCACUAGCCCAUGCUGCCUUCUACCUUCUCGUUCUACGCAGACAGGUAAGUGCCUAUAUUCCUUCUUCAUCCUUCCCAACAGCCACCCCUCCCGGGUUUCAAAGUCUGUCCGUCUGGCAGAUGGGGAUGCCACCCCGCUCUCUCGCCUGGAAUACCCUUCUCCCGGCCCUGCACUGAGAGAGAGAUGGCCACAAGGCCCAAGCUCCUGAAAGUUAUUCAGCGCGAUUGAUAAAGCCACUCUAAGCCUCUUCUGAGAAUAAGGGGCUUCUAGGUUCUGAAUCCCUGGACAGUAAAUAGGGCACAUAUGUACAUCUUCCUAUGUCCAAAGCCAGAUCAUCUACAGUUAUUUAGCAAUGGGAUGGGGAUUUUAAUAGCUAUUAAAAUCCCUUCCACAUUACUCAGAGGUUUCCACCAUAGCAAUCAAUUAUGCCAUGGGUGAAGUCAAACACAUCUGCAGCACGUUGGAGAGCAUAAACUACAAGGAACCAUGAAGAGGACAGAGUUAUAAGAACAAAAUGUUCCCUUACUAUACCUCUAUUCAUCAGUACUUUGGUGAGUUGGAGACUCAGACUCAUCCAUAGUGGGUGAGCUUUCUGUUGCUUCUCUGAACAAAGGACAGCACAGGAAGGAAGAGCAAAGAGGAAACGUUAAAGAGAAGAAGUGACCCAGACAUUGUUAAGAACUUAUUAACACAGUGGGAAGAACAGCUGAUGACUCAUUCUUCUAAACAAAAGGGUUAGUAACACACAAAAACAUGUCAUGCAGAUUUUUCAAAUUUCUGAUUCCUGUUUCUAAAGCACAUUUUCUACUGAAGCCACCUUGAGAGAGUUUAUCGUUACCUCUGAAAUAAAAGUCUCUGAAAAUAACUUUGGUUACCUUAGGUCAAGCAAAUGUUUUAAGUGUCUUCUAUUUUUUCUUUCUCCCUCUGACCUCCUGACUUUGUCCACAGUUCCCACAGGCCUAACGUGGGCAGGAAAAACUGAAUCGCCAUGACGGCUGUGAGGGCUAAAGAUGCUGUCUGUCUACACGCACUUGGGGAGAAGCGACGCACAGAGGAGCAGAGUUAGAUCUGUGCACCCAGCCCUAUGGCCGGAUCCGGUCCAGGAGUUCCCAGCCAGGCCCAUUUCAAACAGGGCGAAAGGUCCUGAUGAAAACAACAGCUUCUGCCAUAAGGAUCUUAACUAGGUGAAUAUUGGGAAAAUGGGCUUUGAGCCAGUGACCCUGCUGAGGGCAAAGAAGUGAGUAUCUGCAAGCUGAGGCCCCCGGUCUCCACGUGUCCUUGUGGGGAAAUUCCCACCCUCCUACCCUCAAAGGGGAAGGCAGAAGGGAGCCUCCAAGCAAGAGAGGCUGUCCCCUCAGCUUCCGGGCUGCAAACCCUUCUCCUUCCUCCAUUCCUGUUGUCUCCUGCUUCGGGGGAGAAGGCAGACAGGCUCGUGGGCACCGCCUGCCUCAUGCAUGCCAAGGUGGGAGCAAAGUGGUGGCUCCAGUUCCACUGGCUAAGGUGGGGACCAGGCUGAGAGGUGAAUCUCACCAACAGGAAGGGAGGUUGGGUGGGGCAGAGGUUGAAAAGGAGGGUUGAGGAGGGUCCUACCGCACACUAUGGAUGGUUUUGUGUUCUCUACGUACCUCUGCCCUCUUCCCUUUCUUUGGCACAAGCUCUGCACCCUUGUUUGUCGAGUCACCGAACCCUUCCGUGACCUGCUGGCCGUCCCCCACCCCUUCUGGGUGCAUUCCCCGGCUCCAUUCCUCACCCUCGUUAAGAAAGAGAAAACCCCAGGUGGGACUCACUCACCCGGCCUGCCAGGUCAAGAGGUGGUGUGGGCUGCUUGGGGGCGUAGCUCCAAUCUCGCUGGAAGGGGUGGAGCUCCGCUGGCUGGGAGGUAAGGCUGUUGAGGCCCACAGUUGGGGAAGAGAAGGGAGAGAGGACGUGGUCAGGUGAGGGCAUCUGAGCAAAGACAACCCUUCCAGCCAGCUUGCCCCGAGAGAGCCCCAGCAGCUGAGGGACUCCAGCAUCCCCUCUCCUCCCAGACCUCCUGGAAGCCCUGGGGUGGUGGGGCAGGGGGAACAGGACCUCCUGCACUUGCAGCUGCAGCUGGCUUUCAGGUACUUGUUCUUGGAAGUUUAUGGCCUAAAAAUGAAUCUAGCCAGGUAGGCACAGGAUGUGAAUGAAUCAAUGUUUUGCCCGAAUGGAGGGUCUUUUUCAAUAAAGGAUGAACAGUUUUGCCU